GUUGUAUUCUUGAUUUUUUACAAAUUUGGUGCACCCAAAAGACUGCUAACAGACCAGGCCACUGAGUUUCGCAAUAAGGUCAACUCUGGCCUGUGUGAGAGGCUGAGCAUCGAGCCAAGCCUGUGCUCCCCUUAUCAUCCACAGACCAACGGCCUCGUGGAGAAACUAAAUGGCGCAAUACAGAGGUCCCUGAACAAACUGGUGGCAGAGAACCACACUGUGGCAGCAGGGUGUGCGGAAGUACAGCUGCAGAGUGGGUGAAGCGGGGGUGUG